rnacentral:tRNA from 1 species
GCCCGGAUGGUGGAAUUUGGUAGACACAUACGUUUGAGGGGCGUAUGCACUUCGUGCGUGGGGGUUCAAGUCCCCCUCCGGGCA